rnacentral:rRNA from 1 species
AUUGAACGCUGGCGGCAUGCUUUACACAUGCAAGUCGAACGGUAACAGGCCGCAAGGUGCUGACGAGUGGCGAACGGGUGAGUAAUGCAUCGGAACGUGCCCAGUCGUGGGGGAUAACGCAGCGAAAGCUGCGCUAAUACCGCAUACGAUCUAUGGAUGAAAGCGGGGGACCGUAAGGCCUCGCGCGCUUGGAGCGGCCGAUGUCAGAUUAGGUAGUUGGUGGGGUAAAGGCUCACCAAGCCAACGAUCUGUAGCUGGUCUGAGAGGACGACCAGCCACACUGGGACUGAGACACGGCCCAGACUCCUACGGGAGGCAGCAGUGGGGAAUUUUGGACAAUGGGCGCAAGCCUGAUCCAGCAAUGCCGCGUGCAGGAAGAAGGCCUUCGGGUUGUAAACUGCUUUUGUACGGAACGAAACGGUCCUGGUUAAUACCUGAGGCUAAUGACGGUACCGUAAGAAUAAGCACCGGCUAACUACGUGCCAGCCGCCGCCGUAACAC